rnacentral:rRNA from 1 species
AUUGAACGCUGGCGGCAGGCUUAACACAUGCAAGUCGAACGGUAACAGGGGGUAGCUUGCUACUUUGCUGACGAGUGGCGGACGGGUGAGUAAGGUAUGGGAAGUUUAGCCCGAAUGGAGGGGGGACAACAGUUGGAAACGGCUGCUAAUACCGCAUAACGUCGCGAGACCAAAGGGUGGGACUUUCGGGCCACCUGCCGAAUUUGAUUGAGCCCAUAUGAGAUUAGCCUAGUUGGUGUGG